rnacentral:misc_RNA from 1 species
GAUCCUUUACCUGCUCCUCCUCCUUUGGAUGAAGAAUGUGAAUCAAUGGAUUCUACCAACUCCAAUGAGGCAGAAGCUGUUCCUCCAAAGCCAGGAUAUGGUGCGGAGCCAAGUAAGGAGACACAUGGGGUUCUCAAGCCGACAGCAGUACAUUCGAAAAGCCCAAUCAACGUUGAUGAGCUGGUUGGCAUGUCAAAACU